AAACAGAAGGUAAGAUCCCUUUUUGCUGUGCCGUAUGUACUUACUAAUUUGUUACAUUACGCGCAUCGGAAGUCGGAACUUGCUACUUAUCUAUCUUUUCGUGUUUUCCUUUCUUUCCUUCUUAGAUAUUUUCCGCAGGCUGACCCGAGAUUACAGGAAUAUGGAUGUUAUUUUGAUUUCUGGCACAGCGUUUACGCCCCGCACUCAAUCGUCAUUUAAGGCAGCGGAGUAAGAAGACGUUUCCUAAAUCUAUAUCCUUUUGAUACACACAUAUACAUACAUAUUGAGAAUUUUUGAUUUUCUAUCUUGAAAAUAAGUCCAACUGGAGCGUAUAUCCUUGUACGGCAAGAGGAAAUUUAUUUCUACGGGAAGGAUCUCUCUGAGCCGUUCGAUACCAAACGAGGGUUCACACAAGGCGACUCUCUUUCGUGCGACUUCUUCAAUCUGCUCUUGGAGAAAAUAAUUCGAGCUGCAGAACUAAAUAGGGAAGGUACUACCAUCUAUAAGAGUGUACAACUGCUGGCGUACGCCGAUGACAUCAAUAUCAUUGGCUUCAUCAGUACCCGCCAGUGGAAGCAAAGAAAAACCUCCACUCUGUUGGAAAGACCAUGUGGAGAAGGACCCGGUUCGCUUGGAAUUUCCUGUCGUUAAGUCGGCUAUAACCGCGUAAGCGGUAUCUGCGCCAGUAAGUAAGAAGAAGAUUUCAGCCAUAAAAUGGUUCUAUGAUUGAACAGGAUAUAUUGAGUUUACCAUGAAGUUGGUAGCACCCAAAAGGAACGAAACAAAAUUUCGCCUAGAUUAUAAUCCAAGUGAUCGCUACAGUCUGCGAACUAAUUAUUGAAACACUAAUAUAGCUGCCAAAAAAACGUAUAUUCUUAUUGUGGCUGAAAAUUAAGCGGCAGUAAAUAACCGUUUUAGUUCAAUUAUAUUUAGAAUCACUCGAAAUAAAACACUCAUUAACGGUGAGCACACUUUCCAAGAAAUCAUUAUUCUAUUUGAUACAAUUACUUAGAUAACUUUCAACUAAAAGUCACUUAUCAAACUCCAACAACACAACAGUUUGUCCUUUUUCAGCACAAGACAGUAUAAACAUUUUAGCGCAUUCCAAAAUCAAAACUAAGCCACUUUUAGUAGCAACAACAACAACAACUUACAUAUAUCGCAUCCGUUAGGUGCCUCUUCCCAAUCAAUAGGUACAUAACUGUCGCCCAUUGUCAUUGUUGAGAUAAACUCAUUAUGGCACCUAAUUGUCACAUUUACGUGAAUUUAUUGACACUUUCAAAAUAAGAAGGAUCAAGAGCGGCAAGGACAAUCCGACGGACAAACAUACAGAAGGACGAUGCAAACAUUUGUUGUUGCUAACGAUCUGCUUUUACAGGUAAACACCCGUACUUAUAUAAAUUUCGAACUCGGAAAAGGUAGCGUUCGGUAACUGAUGCGUAUCAUAAUUACUCUGUCCGUUUGCGUUUACUUCUCUAUAUACAAUGCGGUAGUACAUACUUACGCACACGUAUCAGAAUUAUUGUUGAAUCAGGACGAAGAGAUAUGGUCCGAUCGUUGACAUUUAUGACUUUCGCCUUAUCUUAAUAAGCGUUUAAUCGACGUAAAGGAGAACGUGUUAAAAGGAUGUAAGCAAAGUAAAUAUUUAUGGAGCACUUAUCUGCAACACACUCAUCCAACACUACAGUUAAAACAAUUUCAAAAGGUAAAACACAAGAAUGUCUAAGCAGCUUAGUUUUUACAAUUACAAAAACACUUCGUAAGAGAGUGCGCUCCACGUGAUCCACGUAUAAAUCGAAGAAAACAUAUUACCACUCAGCAAAAACAUUCAUUUUUGAGCCUGUAAGCCCGAAUUCUAAAUAAAAUUUGGGAACUUUUUUUUAAGAAAGGUGUGAAAAUAGUGAAACCCACAUUUUAAGGCGCACACCUAGUGCUAAAGUUUACCAAAUUUUAAUUUUUUUCACAUUUCGAUAAGGUAUACCUUUAAAAAUAGCAUACUAAUAUUUUAAACCAAUAUCUCAAAUAGUUUUUGAGUUACCGCCUUCUAAAAUGUAACGGCUUAGUUAGUAUAGCUUAAUCACUUCAUCUUUAGACACUCUAUCUCGAAACAGCAUUUUUUGAAUUUGCUUGUGUCAUUGCUCGGAAACAAAAGAUUCGAUCACUAUCAAAUUUUUUUCUGUAAAAUUCAUUUUUGUCAAUUUUUGAUUUUAUUCGAUAUACAAUGACCCAGUAUAUCUUCCAGUUUAGUUAAAUAUUACGUACGUAACUAAGAUGGAUCCAGCAAUUUGUGGGCAUCGAUUUCGAUAUAUACAAAACGUCAUAAAUUUAACCCAGGUAUUUGAAAAAGAAGUUGCGUUUCCACUUUAGUGACUUUGUUUAUGUGUCAUAUGCUAUUGAUUGUGCGAUUAUGUAAGAUUUUUGGCUAGAUAAUCGUCAUUUGUGGGAAGUGUUGAUUUUCUUCUUUCAGUCAAAGAAAUCGUUGACUGAAAAACAUCGGGAACUCCAGUUUUUUUCGGCGAUUUCGAUAUUCAUGGCCGUCCGCGUGAAGGAAGACGGGGAACGGUGAAUUGAAGAGGUUCCGUAUCAAACGCAAGAAGAGCUUGCUGCAUUGGAAGUCACCUCUAAGCUAUUUAAAAGCAACUACAUGCGAAAAGCGGCCUCAAUACCAGGGACGGAACGAAAAAGCGAUUCUGCUGCAUAUCAACGAUCGGCCUCACGCUGCCAAAUCCGUCAAAACAUACCAAGAAACUCUUAAAUGGGAAGUCUUACCCCUCCCAAAGAGGUCAAAAGACCAUAACCACGGGAAGAGAAUGUUUGAAUGUGUACUGGUUCCAGUUAACAGAUAUCGUCAGCGUAUUUCGGGAAAUGAAGUUCCCGUCUGUAGAGGUUAUAUCUUCGAAAUCAGGUGGUAAUUAAUAAGAUUUUUUCGGAAAUCAAGUGAAUGGUCGUGGCUAAUUUCCCACCACAGUUAGGACUGUAUUAUCGGAAAAGGUCCGGAAUUGGCACAGUAAAGUUCUGUUAAUAGGUGAUCUAAUAAUGCUGCAAACAGUAAGUGCAGUUAGAUGUUCGCUACUUGUUUUUUGACAAUUAGAUAUAUACAGUGAACUGCAUAUUUUUCACAUUCUUACUUGGCAAUAAAGUUUUUGUCCAAACGAUGGAAGUGUCGACACAAGCACAAGUUUUUCUUCAUGCGCAACACAUCACUCAUAAUCGCAACGUAUUCCUCGACAUCAAUAUGUUUCUCUUCACCAUCACGACGGAUUGGAAAGUUUUGAGAAAAUUUAUUUGUUUAUUUCUGUUAAAAACACUUGCGUACAAAUAUGCGUUUAAAGCGGACAUAUGACUCGCAUUUUUUAUGUUUGUAUAUUUUUAUUAUAAUACGCAAAACGUGUUAGGUUUGUAUAAAUAUUUUAUAUGUAUGUAUGAAAAUGUGUUUCA